rnacentral:misc_RNA from 1 species
UAGUUUUGUAUUUUUUUUUUCCUCAAGACAUUCAUGCAUCAAGAUGUAUAAGUAUGCAUAUUUUGCUUUAUCAAGAAUUAUUAGCUAUCCUUUCUGAUUAGGUUUUCUGCAAGUUCAAACUAAGAUAAUAUAGUUAUGGCUUCUGGGCAUCAGAGUAAUCAAGCAGAUUAGAGCAGUGAAUAGACAGUCAAACCAUUUGAUAACCAAAAAAUGAAUUCGACCGAAGUAAUUAGAGAUUGCAAAAAAAAUAAAAAAUAAAAAUCUACUUUGUUCAAGAGAGUGAAUUACUAAACAAACAUAAAAAUGAGGUGAGGAACUUCCGAACUCUGAACAGCAAUAUGAAGAUCUGUGCUGCUGAGGAAAAGAGAGCAAGGUGGAGGGGAUUGACUUUCAUUAACACUAGAUGACAUGUAAUAGUAUGAAAUCUUAAUGUGACAUUUGAA